rnacentral:sRNA from 2 species
UAUUGUACAUUAUCGUGUGGGUGAGUAACCUGCGUUCAGGUUCGAGCCGAGCGAAGCGAGAUAGCAACGCGGCAGCGUUGACCCAAAGGGCGAGUCCACAGGACGAGUCAUCCCGCACGACCCACCA